GUCUUUGGACCGCAUGGUUUGAAGAGAAAAGGUGGCCUCUUUACAAUGCUACCACUUACAGAUGAAUCCGCGUCCCAUUAGCCAGUUGGUGGGGUAAUGGCCUACCAAAGCGACGAUGGGUAGCCGGCCUGAGAGGGUGAUCGGCCACACUGGAACUGAGAUACGGUCCAGACUCCUACGGGAGGCAGCAGUGGGGAAUCUUCCGCAAUGGGCGAAAGCCUGACGGAGCAACGCCGCGUGAGCGAAGAAGGUUUUCGGAUUGUAAAGCUCUGUGAUAUUGAACGAGAGAAGUGACGGUACAAUAAGAGGAAGCCACGGCUAACUACGUGCCAGCAGCCGCGGUAAUACGUAGGUGGCAAACGUUGUCCGGAAUUACUGGGCGUAAAGGGCGAGUAGGUGGUUUGUUAAGUCAGAAGUGAAAACUCCAGGCUCAACUCGGGGGGUGCAUUUGAAACUGCCAGGCUUGAGUGCAGGAGAGGAAAGCGGAAUUCCUAGUGUAGCGGUGAAAUGCGUAGAUAUUAGGAGGAACACCAGUGGCGAAGGCGGCUUUCUGGACUGUAACUGACACUGAGGCACGAAAGCGUGGGGAGCAAACAGGAUUAGAUACCCUGGUAGUCCACGCGGUAAACGAUGGAUACUAGGUGUGUGGGGGAGAUACAACCUCCGUGCCGCAGCUAACGCAAUAAGUAUCCCGCCUGGGGAGUACGGCCGCAAGGCUGAAACUCAAAGGAAUUGACGGGGACCCGCACAAGCAGCGGAGCAUGUGGUUUAAUUCGAAGCAACGCGAAGAACCUUACCAAGGCUUGACAUCCCUUGACCGCCAUGGAAACAUAUGGUUUCCCUUCGGGGCAAGGAGACAGGUGGUGCAUGGUUGUCGUCAGCUCGUGUCGUGAGAUGUUGGGUUAAGUCCCGCAACGAGCGCAACCCUUAUCAUUAGUUGCCAGCGGGUAAUGCCGGGAACUCUAAUGAGACUGCCGGGGAUAACUCGGAGGAAGGUGGGGACGACGUCAAAUCAUCAUGCCCCUUAUGUCUUGGGCUACACACGUGCUACAAUGGCCGGUACAAAGGGCUGCAAACCCGUAAGGGGGAGCGAAUCCCAUAAAGCCGGUCUCAGUUCGGAUCGUGGGCUGCAACCCGCCCACGUGAAGCCGGAGUUGCUAGUAAUCGCGAAUCAGCAUGUCGCGGUGAAUGCGUUC
rnacentral:rRNA from 1 species